rnacentral:sRNA from 1 species
AUUCUGUAGAUGUCCCACAGCUCUGCUCAAAGACAGGGCUAUGAAUGAAAGUUCCAUGUUCUUAGGCUACAACUAUGCUAUCCUUUCAGGGCUAUGUUCAAAGAGAGAUUUGCCAUCCUUCCAGACAGUGCAUUGACAUCUGUAGGGAUGGAGAACAGCCCGGCAUGUUGUACUGUCUGGGUGUACAUGCAGGAU